UACAGAGGGGGCGAGCGUUGUUCGGAAUUACUGGGCGUAAAGGGCGCGUAGGCGGCCUGCUAAGUCAUACGUGAAAUCCCUCGGCUCAACCGGGGAACUGCGUGUGAUACUGGCGGGCUUGAAUCCGGGAGAGGAAUGCGGAAUUCCAGGUGUAGCGGUGAAAUGCGUAGAUAUCUGGAGGAACACCGGUGGCGGAAGGCG
rnacentral:rRNA from 1 species